rfam:Bifidobacterium breve DSM 20213 genomic scaffold Scfld1, whole genome shotgun sequence.
UGCGGCGGCCAUGGCCCAGGUGAGACGCCCGGUCCCAUUCCGAACCCGGAAGCUAAGGCCUGGCACGGCGAUGGUACUGCACCCGACAGGGUGUGGGAGAGUAGCACGCCGCCGCAC